rnacentral:lncRNA from 13 species
GAGGUAGUUGGGAAAGAAAGAGUGAAGGGAACAUUAUAGGUGAUAUGAAAUAAAGAUCUAUCAUGUGAAAGCAAGGUUCAUAUUCUGUGGAGAUGCUGAUGUUGUUAAAAUAAUAGAGACAGUGUCUUGCCAUAUUGUCCAGGCUGAUUCCAAACUUCUGGCUUCAAGCAAUCCUCCAACCUUGGCCCCCUAAAGCUCUGGGAUUACAGAUUUGAGAGAAAAGACACAGCGAAAAUAAUUAACUUGACUGUGCCAAUAGCAUGUAACACGCAUGGGAUUGUGAUUGCUACCAAUGAUGUUACUACGUCUCAUGCCUUUAACUACUUCACUAUAUUUAUAAGUAAAAGGUAA